UACGUAGGUGGCGAGCGUUGUCCGGAUUUACUGGGCGUAAAGAGCGCGCAGGCGGUCGUGCAAGUCGCGUGUGAAAGCCCCCGGCUCAACUGGGGAGGGUCACGCGAUACUGCUCGACUCGAAGGCAGGAGAGGGAAGUGGAAUUCCCGGUGUAGUGGUGAAAUGCGUAGAUAUCGGGAGGAACACCAGUGGCGAAGGCGACUUUCUGGCCUGUUCUUGACGCUGAGGCGCGAAAGCUAGGGGAGCAAACGGG
rnacentral:rRNA from 1 species